AUCCCUGUAGCCUAAAGGAGAGGCAGCAGAUUUCCAAUCUGCUUCAUGUAGGUUAAAUCCUAUCAGGGAUGCCA
rnacentral:tRNA from 1 species